rnacentral:rRNA from 1 species
UAGUUGGUGGAGUGAUUUGUCUGGUUAAUUCCGUUAACGAACGAGACCUCAGCCUACUAAAUAGUAUGCAUUUUCUUACGAAAGUGUAGGACUUCUUAGAGGGACAUUUCGGUUUUACCGGAAGGAAGUUUGAGGCAAUAACAGGU